CAAUAUACUGGUAUUGAUAUUCUCUCUUUUGAUCAGUUGAUGCCAACUGUUGUUCUUGUGAGUUGGAAUCACAUGCAACCCGUUGCAAUGCAUUUUGAAUAUGAAACUGGGGAUAUGGGCCCGAGUCACUUUCUAGCCUCAUUGUAACGGAUCCCUUUCCUUGCAAUAUCUUUGAUUGAAAAAUCCCCACAUGCAAAUGAAUUGUAGCUCCCUUGGAUUGAAAUUAGCAUGGAGACCUGUUGGAAAUAUUUAUCAUUUAACUUUGUCCGGAGAAGGUUGCCUGAAUCAUUGAAGGAGACAAUGACUGAAUAAAUUUGUUAAAGAACACUGAUUGAAAAUUGGUGCCUCUAAACUUUGCUUGGAUUAUAUAUGGGGGUUUGGGAGGUGGCAUCUCAGAAGGUUUUGGGCUGACAUGUCAUCUCCACUCUUUUCGCCGUUAAUGGAAAUUCAUUCCUUAAUAAAGGACAAGCCCUAGAGCAUGUAACUGAUGUGGCACAGGUAUGGAUCAGCAGAGAUGUUGGACUAGAAGAGUAACCCUCAUUGUCUACAGUGUUUCCUUUCAUAAGGGAGAGUAACCCCUCUAGUUUGCUAAAACGUUGAUCCUGCUUCUGGUGAAGUGUAGCCAUUGCGUCUCCCAAACCGAGUAUGUUCUUCUCUAUCUUCUCUAGUCUAUUCUCCACUCUAGCUUCUCUAUCCUGUUUUCCAUGUUGGUUUUGGGGAUCUGGCAAGUCGGACCAAUUGAUAGAGUUAGG
rnacentral:misc_RNA from 1 species